rnacentral:rRNA from 1 species
UACGUAGGGACCAAGCGUUGUUCGGAUUUACUGGGCGUAAAGGGCGCGUAGGCGGCUUGACAAGUCACUUGUGAAAUCUCCGGGCUUAACUCGGAACGGCCAAGUGAAACUGUCAUGCUAGAGUGCAGAAGGGGCAAUCGGAAUUCUUGGUGUAGCGGUGAAAUGCGUAGAUAUCAAGAGGAACACCUGAGGUGAAGACGGGUUGCUGGGCUGACACUGACGCUGAGGCGCGAAAGCUAGGGGAGCAAACGGG